UAGGUUCAUAAUUCACUGGUUAGAAUAUAAUGUUGAUAACGUUAAUAUACUGGUUCAAGUCCAGUUGAACCUAU
rnacentral:tRNA from 1 species